AGUUGUCUGUUGGGAAGGAAGGGGUGAAUGAUUUAGGUUUUCUAACUCAAAUAUUCGCCGACGUCCGGCAGUCAGAGCUACCCGGAUAUUCAGGAUCCCAGUGUACACUCGAGUCUCUCUCCGCAAUAUUGCACUGGAACCUGGAGCGAUUUAAAGGACGACGCCAUGCCAGCCCAAAAAUGGUGAAUGACAUAAUGAGGACCGGAAACCGCCUGCAUUCUUUCUUACGAGACGAGUACAAAUUGAGCGACCAGCCCGACGAUCGAAUCGCAAUGGACGACUUUCCGGUUGACGAAUUCAUUCGACUUUUCAACGUAUUUGGCCGUCCUUACGUCGAUGUCAAGCUGGGAGGGAAAGAAUACGUCUGUACAACGAGCCUGCGAGCUUUUGGAGAUGGCUUGCCGUCA